UAGGGAAUCUUCCACAAUGGACGCAAGUCUGAUGGAGCAACGCCGCGUGAGUGAAGAAGGUUUUCGGACCGUAAAGCUCUGUUGUUGGUGAAGAAGGAUAGAGGUAGUAACUGGCCUUUAUUUGACGGUAAUCAACCAGAAGGUCACGGCUAACUACGUGCCAGCAGCCGCGGUAAUACGUAGGUGGCAAGCGUUGUCCGGAUUUAUUGGGCGUAAAGCGAGCGCAGGCGGAAGAAUAAGUCUGAUGUGAAAGCCCUCGGCUUAACCGAGGAAUUGCAUCGGAAACUGUUUUUCUUGAGUGCAGAAGAGGAGAGUAGAACUCCAUGUGUAGCGGUGGAAUGCGUAGAUAUAUGGAAGAAUACCAGUGGCGAAGGCGGCUCUCUGGUCCGCAACUGACGCUGAGGCUCGAAAAGCAUGGGUAGCGAACAGGAUUAGAUACCCUGGUAGUCCAUGCCGUAAAACGAUGAGUGCUAAGUGUUGGGAGGCUUCCGCCUCUCAGUGCUGCAGCUAACGCAUUAAGCACUCCGCCUGGGGGAGUACGACCGC
rnacentral:rRNA from 1 species